rnacentral:rRNA from 1 species
GUGGGGAAUAUUGGGCAAUGGGCGAAAGCCUGACCCAGCAACGCCGCGUGAAGGAAGAAGGUCUUCGGAUCGUAAACUUCUAUCCUUGGUGAAGAUAAUGACGGUAGCCGAGAAGGAAGCCCCGGCUAACUACGUGUCAGCAGCCGCGGUAAUACGUAGGGGGCAAGCGUUGUCCGGAAUGAUUGGGCGUAAAGGGCGCGUAGGCGGCCUGGUAAGUCUGGAGUGAAAGUCCUGCUUUUAAGGUGGGAAUUGCUUUGGAUACUGUCGGGCUUGAGUGCAGGAGAGGUAAGUGGAAUUCCCGGUGUAGCGGUGAAAUGCGUAGAGAUCGGGAGGAACACCAGUGGCGAAGGCGACUUACUGGACUGUAACUGACGCUGAGGCGCGAAAGUGUGGGGAGCAAACAGGAUUAGAAACCCGGGUAGUCC